rnacentral:rRNA from 2 species
AGAGUUUGAUCAUGGCUCAGAACGAACGCUGGCGGCAGGCUUAACACAUGCAAGUCGAACGCACCGCAAGGUGAGUGGCAGACGGGUGAGUAACGCGUGGGAACGAGCCCUUCAGUUCGGGAUAACCCAGGGAAACUUGGGCUAAUACCGGAUACGUGCGAGAGCAGAAAGAUUUAUCGCUGAAGGAUCGGCCCGCGUCUGAUUAGCUAGUUGGUAGGGUAAUGGCCUACCAAGGCGACGAUCAGUAGCUGGUCUGAGAGGAUGAUCAGCCACAUUGGGACUGAGACACGGCCCAAACUCCUACGGGAGGCAGCAGUGGGGAAUAUUGGACAAUGGGCGCAAGCCUGAUCCAGCCAUGCCGCGUGAGUGAUGAAGGCCUUAGGGUUGUAAAGCUCUUUCGGCGGGGACGAUAAUGACGGUACCCGCAGAAGAAGCCCCGGCUAACUUCGUGCCAGCAGCCGCGGUAAUACGAAGGGGGCUAGCGUUGUUCGGAAUCACUGGGCGUAAAGGGCGCGUAGGCGGCCUGAUAAGUCGGGGGUGAAAGCCUGUGGCUCAACCACAGAAUUGCCUUCGAUACUGUCGGGCUUGAGACCGGAAGAGGUCAGUGGAACUGCGAGUGUAGAGGUGAAAUUCGUAGAUAUUCGCAAGAACACCAGUGGCGAAGGCGGCUGACUGGUCCGGUUCUGACGCUGAGGCGCGAAAGCGUGGGGAGCAAACAGGAUUAGAUACCCCAGUAGUCC